rnacentral:rRNA from 1 species
GACGAACGCUGGCGGCGUGCCUAAUACAUGCAAGUAGGACGCAGUUGCGAACGUGUGAGUUACGCGUAGGUAACUGCCUAUUAGAGGGGGAUAACUAUUGGAAACGAUAGCUAAUACCGCAUACUAGUAGAUGGACCUGCGUUGUAUUAGCUAGUAGGUAGGGUAAUGGCCUACCUAGGCGACGAUACAUUGCCGACCUGGGAGGGUGAUCGGCCAAACUGGGACUGGGACAAGGGCCAGACUCCUACGGGAGGCAGCAGUAGGGGAACUUCGGCAAUGGGGGGAACCCUGGCCGAGGAACGGCGGGGGAGUGAAGAAGGUUUUCGGGUCGUAAAACUCUGUUGUUAAGGAAGCGUUACUUAACCAGAAAGGAACGGCUAACUACGUGCCAGCAGCCGCGGUAAUAC